rnacentral:rRNA from 1 species
UACGGGGGGAGCAAGCGUUGUUCGGAAUUACUGGGCGUAAAGGGCUCGUAGGCGGCCAACUAAGUCAGACGUGAAAUUCCUCAGCUUAACUGGGGAACUGCGUCUGAUACUGGAUGGCUUGAGUUUGGGAGAGGGAUGCGGAAUUCCAGGUGUAGCGGUGAAAUGCGUAGAUAUCUGGAGGAACACCGGUGGCGAAGGCGGCAUCCUGGACCGGCAUUGACGCUGAGGCGCGAAAGCCAGGGGAGCAAACGGG